rnacentral:rRNA from 1 species
UAAGCGGAGGAAAAGAAACUAACAAGGAUUCCCCUAGUAACUGCGAGUGAAGCGGGAAAAGCUCAAAUUUAAAAUCUGGUGGUCUUUGGCCAUNCGAGUUGUAAUCUAGAGAAGCGUCUUNCGCGCUGGACCGUGCACAAGUCUCCUGGAACGGAGCGUCGUAGAGGGUGAGAAUCCCGUCUUUGGCAUGGACACACCAGGGCUUUUGUGAUGCGCUCUCGAAGAGUCGAGUUGUUUGGGAAUGCAGCUCAAAAUGGGUGGUGAACUCCAUCUAAAGCUAAAUAUUGGCGAGAGACCGAUAGCGAACAAGUACCGUGAGGGAAAGAUGAAAAGCACUUUGGAAAGAGAGUGAAACAGUACGUGAAAUUGUUGAAAGGGAAACGCUUGAAGUCAGUCGCGUCGACCGAGACUCAGCCUCGCCUCGGCUUGGUGUACUUCUCGGCCCGACGGGUCAGCAUCAAUUUCGCCUCUUGGAUAAUGGCGAGGGAAGCGUGACACCUUUACGGUGUGUUAUAGUCUCUCGUCGCAUGCAAGGGUCGGGAUUGAGGAACUCAGCACGCGCCUUUGGGCGUCGGGGCUUUGCCUACGAUACGUGCUUAGGAUGUUGGCGUAAUGGCUUUAAACGACC